rnacentral:sRNA from 1 species
AAAUAGGUGCGUUAGCGAUAGUAGUGGUUAGCUUUUGGCGAGCGGCCGCUUUGAGCCAAAACUAGUAACGUAUAGCGCGACCCUUG